AUAGGGUUGUCCAAAAAACAGACAGCUGUUGGUCGGUUUUAUUGGGUUAAUGAAUAGACUAUGAAUUUGAAGGAUGAAUGCAAACAAUGCUACUCUCACGAGGGAAGUCAGGAAUUCUGAUAAUUGACUCUGAUUUUUGUACAUAAAGCCUUAUUUUGUUCAUCAACUUGUUUUGAUAAGAUAUUUCCAGUAAUUUUCUCCACCUGCAGUAGUGUAAUAAUCUUAGGUUUGCAAAGGAAAACCCAAUUGAUAUUAAUUGGGAAAAAUCUCCAACCAUUAAUGGACUGUCAGAGUAUCAAAAAGUACAAGCAAUUGCACCAUUAAUUUCUGUACAUACAACAGCUUAUGAAUUUACAGAGUAAAAUUUACAAACAUUCCCAUUUUCCACAACAACAGUUUUAGUACAAAUUAUUUUCUUUCAACUUUAAUUUCUUGUAACAUUUAUUAUCUUGCUACAAUAAAAAAUCUGAAGCUUAUUUUACAAGUUGAUGUCAGAUUCCAAAUUAUCUAACUAGCUCAUUGAAGUAUAA